UGGGGAAUAUUGGACAAUGGGCGGCAAGCCUGAUCCAGCCAUGCCGCGUGUGUGAAGAAGGCCUUCGGGUUGUAAAGCACUUUCAUUAGUGAAGAAAGGGGUAUGGGUGAAUAAUUGGACGUUUUGACGUUAGCCCUCAGAAGAAGCACCGGCUAACUCCGUGC
rnacentral:rRNA from 1 species